UUUUAGCCCCGAUCGAAGGGAAAAUCCCGUCUCGUCUUUUCGACGAGUAAGGAUUGGAAUGAGAGCGGGAACCCAU
rnacentral:sRNA from 1 species